rnacentral:rRNA from 1 species
UACGUAGGGGGCAAGCGUUGUCCGGAUUUAUUGGGCGUAAAGAGCGUGUAGGCGGUUGGGUAGGUCCGUUGUGAAAACUCGAGGCUCAACCUCGAGACGCCGAUGGAAACCCCCCAGCUAGAGUCCGGAAGAGGAGAGUGGAAUUCCUGGUGUAGCGGUGAAAUGCGCAGAUAUCAGGAAGAACACCCGUGGCGAAGGCGGCUCUCUAGUACGGUACUGACGCUGAGACGCGAAAGCGUGGGGAGCAAACAGG